rnacentral:rRNA from 1 species
UACGAGAGGCCCAAACGUUAUUCGGAAUUACUGGGCUUAAAGAGUUCGUAGGCGGCAUGAAAAGCAGGGUGUGAAAGCCCUCGGCUCAACCGAGGAAUUGCGCUCUGAACUGUCGUGCUUGAGGAACCUAGAGGUGAGCAGAACAGAUGGUGGAGCGGUGAAAUGCGUUGAUAUCGAGAAGAACACUUAGGGCGUAGGCAAGACUCUGGACAAAUGCUGACGCUCAUGCACGAAGGCUAGGGUAGCGAACGGG